ensembl:lncRNA
CCUCUGCCUCGUAACUACAACUGUUCUCUGAUGACAUUUGUAAUCAUCCUUCCACUCCAGCAACCUGUGCAUGAGAUCCAACUCUUGAGAUGAGAUUACAUUUAUGAUCUCUUUAUGAACUUGAAGAAUCAAAGUUUUGGUGGAAUGUACUGCUGUAGCGGGACCCUCAGCGAUCACAGCCAGCCUCAUGGUGACACUGUAGCACCGCUGUAGAGGCAAAAGCAUGAAGCAGCCAAAGAGCGGGUCACCGAAUGACACAGCCUCAUACUGCACCAGCAGAGCCGAGUAUAGGUCAUGACAGACAUGAGUUCAUGUGCCAGAUAUUCACUGCCAGGCAGCAGCCAGGACACUAGAGCCAGCGAUACUUGGUGAAACAAGGUGGCGUGUUUGGCCAACUCUGGGUCAACUGGAAC